UUUAACUAAGAAUUUGAUCCUGGUUCAGGGUGAAUGCUAGCGGUGUGCCUAAGGUAUGCAAGUCGAACGAUUCUGCAGCAAUGCAAAGUAGUGGCGAACGGCUGAGUAACACGUGGGAAUCUACCCCUAAGUAAGGCAUAGCCCCUCGAAAGAGGGAGUAAUUCCUUAUGUGAAGGAAACUUCAAAGUAGUUUGUGGUGCAAGCCACAGAUGGCGCUUGGGGAUGAGCCCGCGGCCUAUCAGGUAGUUGGUAAGGUAAAAGCCUACCAAGCCUAUGACGGGUAGCUGGUGUUAGCGCAUGACCAG
rnacentral:rRNA from 1 species